GAUUAACGCUGGCGGCAGGCUUAACACAUGCAAGUCGAGCGGGGUGAUGGUGCUUGCACUAUCACUUAGCGGCGGACGGGUGAGUAAUGCUUAGGAAUCUGCCUAUUAGUGGGGGACAACAUCUCGAAAGGGAUGCUAAUACCGCAUACGUCCUACGGGAGAAAGCAGGGGAUCACUUGUGACCUUGCGCUAAUAGAUGAGCCUAAGUCGGAUUAGCUAGUUGGUGGGGUAAAGGCCUACCAAGGCGACGAUCUGUAGCGGGUCUGAGAGGAUGAUCCGCCACACUGGGACUGAGACACGGCCCAGACUCCUACGGGAGGCAGCAGUGGGGAAUAUUGGACAAUGGGGGGAACCCUGAUCCAGCCAUGCCGCGUGUGUGAAGAAGGCCUUAUGGUUGUAAAGCACUUUAAGCGAGGAGGAGGCUCUUUUGGUUAAUACCCAAGAUGAGUGGACGUUACUCGCAGAAUAAGCACCGGCUAACUCUGUGCCAGCCGCCGCCGUAA
rnacentral:rRNA from 1 species